rnacentral:rRNA from 1 species
UACAGAGGUCUCAAGCGUUGUUCGGAAUCACUGGGCGUAAAGGGUGCGUAGGUGGCGUGGUAAGUCAGAUGUGAAAGCCCGGGGCUCAACCCCGGAAUUGCAUCCGAUACUACCAUGCUAGAGUACUGAAGAGGUGACUAGAAUUCUCGGUGUAGCAGUGAAAUGCGUAGAUAUCGAGAGGAAUACCAAAGGCGAAGGCAGGUCACUGGGCAGUUACUGACACUGAGGCGCGAAAGCUAGGGGAGCGAACGGG